rnacentral:rRNA from 1 species
ACCUGACUGCUAUCGGAUUGAUACUAAGCCAUGCGAGUCUUUGUAGUAAUACAAGGCAGACGGCUCAGUAACACGUAGUCAACCUACCCUAUGGACGAGAAUAAUCUCGGGAAACUGAGCAUAAUUCUUGAUAGAUCAUAAUGCCUGGAAUGGUUUAUGGUUAAAAUGAUUCGUCGCCAUAGGAUGGGACUGCGGCCUAUCAGCUUGUUGGUGAGGUAAUGGCCCACCAAGGCGAUUACAGGUACGGGCUCUGAGAGGAGAAGCCCGGAGAUGGGUACUGAGACAAGGACCCAGGCCCUAUGGGGCGCAGCAGGCGAGAAAACUUUGCAAUGUGCGAAAGCACGACAAGGUUAAUCCGAGUGAUUUCUGCUAAAGAAAUCUUUUGCCAGUCAUAAAACCACUGGUGAAUAAGGGGUGGGCAAGUUCUGGUGUCAGCCGCCGCGGUAAAACCAGCACCUCAAGUUGUCAGGAUGAUUAUUGGGCCUAAAGCAUCCGUAGCCGGCUUUGUUAGUUUUCGGUUAAAUCCAUGUGCUCAACGCAUGGGCUGCCGAAAAUACUGCAGGGCUAGGGAGUGGGAGAGGUAGACGGUACUCAGUAGGAAGGGGUAAAAUCCUUUGAUCUAUUGAUGACCACCUGUGGCGAAGGCGGUCUACCAGAACACGUUCGACGGUGAGGGAUGAAAGCUGGGGGAGCAAACCGGAUUAGAUACCCGGGUAGUCCCAGCUGUAAACGAUGCAGACUCGAUGAUGCAUUGGCAUAUAGCCAGUGCAGUGUCGCAGGGAAGCCGUUAAGUCUGCCGCCUGGGAAGUACGUACGCAAGUAUGAAACUUAAAGGAAUUGGCGGGGGAGCACCACAAGGGGUGAAGCCUGCGGUUC